rnacentral:tRNA from 1 species
GCCUUCGUGGUGUAAUGGUCAGCACGUUCGGCAUGUAUUCGACAGGUUCGUGGUUCGAGUCCCGGCGAGGGCA